GAUGAAGAACGCAGCGAAAUGCGAUAAGUAGUGUGAAUUGCAGAAUUCAGUGAAUCAUCGAAUCUUUGAACGCACAUUGCGCCCCAUGGUAUUCCGUGGGGCAUGCCUGUUCGAGCGUCAUUUACCCCCUCAAGCUCCGCUUGGUGUUGGGCGUCUGUCCCGCUUCGCGCGCGGACUCGCCCCAAAGGUAUUGGCAGCGGUCGUGCCAGCUUCUCGCGCAGCACAUUGCGCUUCUCGAGGCACCGGUGGGCCCGCGUCCAUCAAGCUCACCCCCCCCAGUUUGACCUCGGAUCAGGUAGGGAUACCCGCUGAACUUAAGCAUAUCAAUAAGCGGAGGA
rnacentral:misc_RNA from 1 species